GAGGGUAUAGCUCAAGUGGUAGAGCAUAUGCUUAGCAUGCAUGAGGUUCUGGGUUCAAUCCCCAGUACCUCCU
rnacentral:tRNA from 1 species